GUUUGUGCAGACAUGCUAAACUUUGGAGAAUACAGUAUUUAACAUUAAUAAUGUUAUUAAUCACCAUGUAUGGCAAAUUUAGUUGAACAUGAUUUUAUUCACAUUUAUAAUUAUUUUUAAAGCAGAUUAUGGCAGGAUGGGGACAAAAGUGAGUGCAAUGUGCAGCAUGUUACCUUGAAAGUUACCAAGAGGUGUGUGUGCGUGCAUGUGUGCGUGCAUGUGUUAAAUUAAAAACUUGUGUUCUGUCCUUUCGGCCGAUGCUACUGUACUAAAAAAAAUUUCCAAGGUUGGCAGGCCUGACACAAUACCCAGAUAGCACACGUACUUCUCAGAUACGUAUCUGCGAGGUAAUCACUCAGAUUUCCAUUCCGUCUGGAAAACGUAUUAUAAAGGUCGUUUGCCCAUAUGAAUUACGUAUCUGAGACGUACGAGCCCAGCCGUUUUGAAGACGCUUUUAAGAUCUUUUCAAGACGCUUAAUAUUUAGAAUGAUGGUUAGCAGAUCUUUCUAAGAUCUUUCCAAGAUGUUUCUUAGAUCUUUAAAAGAUCUUUAUAAGAGCUUUAAUCGAGCUCUUUCUAAGAUGUUUCUGAGAGCUUUAAACGACGAUUAAAAGAUCAUUACAAAUAAAUUGCUCUAAAACUACAUCUACACAGUUAUACACACAUAUUAUUACAAUAUAUCAUUGACAACAAUUAAAACAGUAUUUUCAAUAAAACAGGCAGUUGAUUGCGUAAAAUUUAUUAAAAUUAGACAAAGGAAAACAUUCAUAAGAUGCAUAUUUACACGAGUGUAUGCAAAAAAGCAACGUUUUUCUAUAACAUACAAAGAAACACAAUAUCUUUAAAUGAAUCAAAUGCUUCCUCGGGCAAAGAACAUCUUGGAUGGAAUUUUCCGCGUCUCCUUCAGUGGUAGACGGAUGGAUUCUUCAUCUGCAGCAGCUGCAUUCUAAAAGAAACCAUUACAAAAAAUAAGGAAAAAUUAAUUUUACAAACUAUGUCAUAUGUUUUCUUUGUUUCCUCAAUAUAACUCUGAUUAGAAUGUCAAACAAAGAUAAAAUCAUCCUAAAGUGUAUUAAUCGUCAAUAUCGUGUAUAUUAUUAAUAUGAGCGUCUUUGCGUUAAAUUCGUGCUACACCACACCAUGCACUUUAUCGACGUCGCAAUGCAAAAGAAGAAGGGCAAGAAAGAAACCUGUCCUGGUCUGGCGAUUUAAGGGAACAUUUGUUUAAGGUAUGUAGUAAUAAUACAUUUUAAUAAUGCUGAGUGUGGGAUCAGUUAACUAGAAAUUUCGUUGAUAAUAAGCAAUGUAUGUACAGUAACUAGCUAGUUUACGUUAGAUAUUUUAUGCACGUGUCUGUGGUUAUUUUAGGUUUUUGAUAGUUAAUUUCACUGAUAGUUUGAGCCCGUGUAAAUUUCUUAAAAAGCUGUAAUUAUUAUUUUAUUUAACAUUAUUAUGUUUGCUGUCAAGACUGAUAUUUAUUUAUAUAUAUUUAUUGACGUUGAUAUGUUAACCUUCUCAGUUGUACUUGACUAAUGCAAUAAUGACAGGUCCACCUGUUUAAGUAUAUUGUAAAACAUUUGAACAUAACAACAUUUGGACAUAACAUAAACACACACAUUGUUUCCGCCUGCAUCAAUUUAGUUGUAUAGCUGCAUUGCUGGUUAACACCUCUGGGCAGAUUAUCCAUGUUCUUCUUUUAUGUGUAGCUGCUCACCUUGAACAGAUACAGUACAUUGAAGUAAUGUUUAAAACAAAUUAAGCCCUAUAAUAUUGUUUAUGUUUACAAUAAUUGGUAAAAAGUUUGACGGAUAAAAUGGUUCUUACCAUUCUCUAUAUAGGCCCCUCUGUUAACUUUUGUUCGAGCCUGUCUAGAUCUUUUAUCAGUCUAGAAAGAUGUUGGAGAAAAGACAUCAUCCUCUUCUAUAAUCUCCAUCUGUAAUUGGACUAACAACUGGACCAGUGAAUGCAGGUCACACCAUGGUCUCAAGAGAGAAAAUGAGUGCUCUAUGGAUUGAACAGAAAAGGCCUCUCUCUUAUCUUGAUCAAUUUCCAGAUGUAAAUUCCUCGCUAAUCCUCCUUACAGCACACACACAAAAACUGGUAACUCUCCACUCUCAAACAUAAACACCUCAUUUCUACAUAAUAGCUCAGUGCAUAUAUAAAACACACAAUGUUUAUAGAAUAAAAUGAUUAAUUAAAGAAAUAUAACAUGGAACAAAAUCAAUUUCCACAGUCCUUAUUUGGACAUCUUUGUAACUUUAACACUUUUAGCAAUCAGCAUGAAAUGUAGGCAGUAAAUAUGUAAAACAUAAUUAUUCAACAACACAACAGUACUCCAUUGUUCAUGAAUUGGUUAAAUGCAUUCAUUAGUUAAACAUACUAAUUUUCACUUUCUCUAAAUAUAACAUAGUUAUAAAGCAAACAACUUGUUUAUUGAAACCAUCUGUUCUGCGUGUUUUCUCUUCAGGGCUUUGUUCCUACCCCCAACUGGAACAGCCUUUCAACUUUACACACAGACAUUUACUCACAUAUCUCAGCACAAAAAGCAUAAUGGCACAUAUGGAUUAUAACAUAACAUACUGAUUAAUAAAACAACAUAAAAAUCCCACAAUUCCCUCUCUUGACCUCUGAAAGAGGUCACACAUUUUCUUCUUCCUCCUCAUCCAGGUUCUGUAGGCCUAAUAGCGGCAUGCUGUAUUUGGGUGGAUUUUCUUUUUUCUCUAUUGCAGACACUAUCAGUCUGUUACACAGGGAUCUCCAUUGUUUAUGCCAAAUAUUAUGGUGACUAUAAUUGCAGUUAUAACUCCUAGGGCCCACAGAACCUUCCAAUUUGCAUAUAGCUUACUCUCUGUGGAAAAAAUACACUUAUGCCUAUUGGCUAAUACUCAAAUAACAAUCGUAAAUUCAAAAAGGAAAAGAAAAAUGAAAUAUGAAAUUAAUACUGUAGAAUUGUAUAAGAAACGUAAGAAAUUCAAAGAUCAAAAUUCAAAGGUCAAUAUGGUAUGUAGUUACCCAGGUUAUAAUGCAUAUAUGGUAAUUGUGAUAUUCAGGUCUCUAAACACUUCUGUCAGGAUUUCCAGCACUUUGUGGAAAUCCAAUUUAUCUAAGCCACACCCCAGCCGGGGAGUGGAUACACUUGUUAUGUUUUCUU